rnacentral:rRNA from 1 species
GACGAACGCUGGCGGCGUGCUUAACACAUGCAAGUCGAACGGAAAGGCCCUGCUUUUGUGGGUUGCUCGAGUGGCGAAGGGGAGAGUAGAGCGAGAGUAACCUACCCUUGCCUUUGGGAUAGCAUCAGGGAACUGAGGCUAAUACCAGAUAGGAGAUCCUGCUGCAUGGUGGGGGUUGGACAGGUGCAGCGGUUGGGGAUGGGCUGGAGGGGCAUGAGCUUGUUGGUGGGGUAGUGGCUUACCAAGGCUUUGACGGGUGGCCGGCCUGACAGGGUGACCGGCCCCACUGGGACUGAGAUACGGCCCAGACUCCUACGGGAGGCAGCAGUGGGGGAUAGUGCACAAUGGGCGGAAGCCUUAUGCAGCAACGCCGCUUGCGUGAUGACGGCCUUCGGGUUGUAAACCGCUUUCGCCUGUGACGAAGCGUGAGUGACGGUAAUGGGUUAAGAAGCACCGGCUAACUACGUG